AUAUUGGUCAAUAGCCUAACGGCUGAACCAGCAACUUGGAGGAAUGUAUAGCAAUAGCUACUUGUAUCAUUAAUGAUGCAAGCUCGACUAUGUUGAAUAAAGUUCUAGGUAGAAUUAUGAUAAUGACAUUGUCUGCCUAUGUGUCUUGACCAAAUUACGUGCCAGCAGUCGCGGUAAUACGUAGAAGACUAGUGUUAUUCAUGUUUAAUCGGUUUAAAGGGUACCUAGACGGUGAAUCAAGCUUUUAAAUAAAUAAGAAAAGGGACUAAUUCGCUAGAGUUACUUACGAGGGGGUUUUAAAGUACUGCUGGUGUAGAGAUGAAAUUCUGUCAUACCUCUUUUCGAAAGAAGAAUAACGGCACAGGUAUAGGCGAAGGCAUCCCCUUAUGUGAUAACUGACGUUGAGGGACGAAGGCUUCGUGGAACAAACAGGAUUAGGUACCCUAGUAGUUGAAGCAGAAAAUGAUGAAUGUCAUAGAUUAGACGUCUAAGUUUAUUCUAUAAAUGAAAGUGUAAGCAUUCCACCUCAGGAGUAAUUUGGCAACAUUGGAAUUGAAAUCAUUAGACCGUUUCUGAAACCAGUAGUGAAGUAUGUUGUUUAAUUUGAUAAUACGCAAAAAACCUUACCACAAUUUGAAUAUUUAUAUUGAACAUAUAUCUACAAGCGUUGCACGGCUGUCUUCAGUUAAUGUCGUGAGACUCUGGUUAGUUCCAUUAAAUUAACGUAAACCCUUACUUUAUUUUUUAUAUAGAGUAGUUCCCCGCUAGAUUGGAUAUGAUAANCGGGACUAGACANUCUCCGC
rnacentral:rRNA from 1 species